AUUCCCAAAGAAACAACAUGGCUCAAAGCUCUUGUAACAAUGGCGGAACUGAUCAGGUUUUGGUGGGGGAGAGAACAAAUGUUAGAACAUUUAUAUUAAAUAGGCCUAACCAGUUGAAUGCACUUUCUUAUUAAAUGUUAUCUCAACUGUUGGAACUUCUUCAUGCCAGUGAAACAAAUUCAAAGGUGAAGAUUAUAAUAUUGAAGGUAGGA